GUGGUUGAAAAAGUUAGUGGUGAAAUCCCAGAGCUUAACUCUGGAACUGCCAUUAAAACUUUUCAGCUAGAGUAUGAUAGAGGAAAGCAGAAUUUCUAGUGUAGAGGUGAAAUUCGUAGAUAUUAGAAAGAAUACCAAUUGCGAAGGCAGCUUUCUGGAUCAUUACUGACACUGAGGAACGAAAGCAUGGGUAGCGAAGAGGAUUCGAUACCCUCGUAGUCCAUGCCGUAAACGAUGUGUGUUAGACGUUGGAAAUUUAUUUUCAGUGUCGCAGGGAAACCGAUAAACACACCGCCUGGGGAGUACGACCGCAAGGUUAAAACUCAAAUGAAUUGACGGGGACCCGCACAAGUAGUGGAGCAUGUGGUUUAAUUCGAAGAUACGCGCAGAACCUUACCAACACUUGACAUGUUCGUCGCGACUCUAAGAGAUUAGAGUUUUCGGUUCGGCCGGACGAAACACAGGUGCUGCAUGGCUGUCGUCAGCUCGUGUCGUGAGAUGUUGGGUUAAGUCCCGCAACGAGCGCAACCCUCACUUUUAGUUGCCAUCAUUAAGUUGGGCACUCUGAAAGAACUGCCAGUGAUAAGCUGGAGGAAGGUGGGGAUGACGUCAAGUCCUCAUGGCCCUUACGUGUUGGGCUACACACGUGCUACAAUGGCAUCUACAACAGGAAGCAAAACGGCAACGUUAAGCAAAUCCCGAAAAGAUGCCUCAGUUCGGAUUGCACUCUGCAACUCGAGUGCAUGAAGCUGGAAUUACUAGUAAUCGUGGAUCAGCGUGCCACGGUGAAUGCGUUCCCGGGUCUUGUACACACCGCCCGUCACACCAUGGGAGUUGGUUCUACCUUAAGGCAAGGUUUUAAA
rnacentral:rRNA from 2 species